rnacentral:rRNA from 1 species
AUUUACCCGGUGAAACUUAGCAUAUCAAUAAGCGGAGGAAAAGAAACUAACAAGGAUUCCCCUAGUAACUGCGAGUGAAGCGGGAAGAGCUCAAAUUUAAAAUCUGGCGGUUCUUGACCGUCCGAGUUGUAAUCUAGAGAAGUGUUACCUGUGCUGGACCGUGUACAAGUCUUCUGGAAUGGAGCAUCAUAGAGGGUGAGAAUCCCGUCUUUGACACGGACUACCUGUACAUUAUGGUGCGCUCUCAAAGAGUCGAGUUGUUUGGGAAUGCAGCUCAAAAUGGGUGGUAAAUGCCAUCUAAAGCUAAAUAUUGGCGAGAGACCGAUAGCGAACAAGUACCGUGAGGGAAAGAUGAAAAGAACUUUGGAAAGAGAGUUAAACAGUACGUGAAAUUGCUGAAAGGGAAACGCUUGAAGUCAGUCACGUUGGCUAGAAAUCAGCCUUGCUCUUGCUUGGUGUACUUUCUGGUUGACGGGUCAGCAUCAAUUUUGACCGCUGGAUAAAGUCUUUGGGAAUGUGGCAUCUUAGGAUGUGUUAUAGCCCAUUGUCGCAUACAGUGGUUGGGAUUGAGGAACUCAGCACGCCGCAAGGCCGGGUUUUAACCACGUUCGUGCUUAGGAUGCUGGCAUAAUGGCUUUAAUCGACCCGUCUUGAAACACGGACCAAGGAGUCUAACAUGCCUGCGAGUGUUUGGGUGGAAAACCCAUGCGCGUAAUGAAAGUGAAAGUUGAGAUCCCCUUCAAAAAGGGAGCAUUGACGCCCGGACCAGACCUUCUGUGACGGAUCCGCGGUAGAGCAUGCAUGUUGGGACCCGAAAGAUGGUGAACUAUGCCUGAAUAGGGUGAAGCCAGAGGAAACUCUGGUGGAGGCUCGUAGCGAUUCUGACGUGCAAAUCGAUCGUCAAAUUUGGGUAUAGGGGCGAAAGACUAAUCGAACCCUCU